UACUCCUGGCAAUGAUCAAAGAGACACCUUGUUGGUGAUAUUGUUCAUAUAUUAGUCAGGGGCAGAGCAGAUGGCAAUCUAUUGUUCAUGCUAACUUGAUGUCUGGCUUAGUGGCCAAAGCUGUCUUGUGCCUAGGCCUCAUAA